UACGUAGGUGACAAGCGUUGUCCGGAUUUACUGGGCGUAAAGGGCGCGUAGGCGGCCACCGCAAGUCGACUGUGAAAUCUCCGGGCUUAACCCGGAAAGGUCAGCCGAUACUGCGGGGCUAGAGUGCAGAAGGGGCAACUGGAAUUCCUGGUGUAGCGGUGAAAUGCGCAGAUAUCAGGAAGAACACCCGUGGCUAAGGCGGCUCUCUAGUACGGUACUGACGCUGAGACGCGAAAGCGUGGGGAGCGAACAGG
rnacentral:rRNA from 1 species